GGCCACGUAGCUCAGUUGGAUAGAGCAAGAGUUUCCUAAACUCUAGGUCGCAGGUUCGACUCCUGCCGUGGUCACCA
rnacentral:tRNA from 1 species